AUACGGAGGAUCCGAGCGUUAUCCGGAUUUAUUGGGUUUAAAGGGUGCGCAGGCGGCCAUUUAAGUCAGCGGUUAAAUCGUGGGGCUCAACCCCAUUCUGCCGUUGAUACUGGGUGGCUUGAUUGCGGUCGAGGUUGGCGGAAUUCGUUGUGUAGCGGUGAAAUGCAUAGAUAUGACGAAGAAAACCGAUUGCGUAGGCAGCUGACCAGACCGCAAAUGACGCUCAUGCACGAAAGUGCGGGGAUCGAACAGGAUUAGAUACCCUGGUAGUCCGCACAGUAAACGAUGAAUACUUGUUUUCGGCGAUAUAAUGUCGGAGGCAAAGCGAAAGCGAUAAGUAUUCCACCUGGGGAGUACGCCGGCAACAGUGAAACUUAAAGGAAUUGACGGGG
rnacentral:rRNA from 1 species